CUCCUGGCUCAUUUACAUAUUCUUGCUGUAUCACCUGUUUGCUUUGAGAGAACAUAUAUUCAAGUUUAACAGAAGUUUGCUGUUGCCCAGUGAUGGUGCCUGAGGCAAAGGUUGGCAUACAUGUCAAGAGAAUGUUCUCCAGCUGGGGCCUGCAGUACAGAGAAUUGUAUAUACCAGAGGGCUCAUGGGACUCUAGGCAGAUUAUUAUGGUAAUAUUGGAGGCUGUUGUCCUCUCCCUCCCACAGCUGGGCCGCCUCUCUCAUUGAACUUUUGGGAGACACCUCAUAUCCAAACUAUAACAUCUGUCUACUAUGCUGUACCUACUAGGAGCAAAGAAAACAAGGACCAGCAAUGGCUACAGAAUAUUUUCUCUCUUUCCUUCAUUGGUUAGAGAUACAUACAAAUAAAGAUAGGUCUGGACUCAA